ACUAGCCCAGCACAUCCCACCCCCGGCUGCUCCAGGGAGGCAGGACUUGGCCACCAGGGCUCAGCAGACUUUUCGGAAUGCAGGGUGAUUUUCUGUCUCUUCCCAGGGAAAAAAUUAAACCCUUUACAGGCUCUUGUACAAGUUAUGCAAAUUUAGCAAGAGAGAAUCUAUCUUCUGUAUUCAGCCUUAAGGACUCAGUGUCCCCAGGCUGUGAGGAGAGUUCUGGGGUCUGCCGGCGGUGAGCAAUCCUGGCUGUGUGAGGGUCUGAGUGGUCCAGCUGCCCCCAUGCUGCUCUCAGGGACCAGCUGCUGGCCCUGCAUCCAGGGCUCUGCAUGGAAGUCAGCGCUGGGCAGUGUGGUUUCUCACCCGAGGGAGGUGGGCCCCCCGAGGUCCUGCAGUCCUGCCCCAGAGCUGCGGUGAGCAGGCCCAAGCACAGGCCUCACAGGGGGAAGGAGCCCUGCCUGGGGAUCCCGGGACCCUGGGGCCUACUGGGAAAGGGAGAGCUCGGGGCCCUGCUUAGGAGACAAGGCUCUUCUGCAAUAGUUUCUCGUUGCUUCAAUACCAAAGAACUGUUUGCUUCGCCCCCAGCCAGGCCCACCCCGUGCUCAGAGCAGCCCCUAUUGCCCAGGCCCUGCAGGCUCAGUGGGCAGGGCCGCCCUGGCCUAUCUCUGGGGGCUCCUUUCUCUCCUGGCCCUCGAGGUGGGGAGCUGAGAAGGGGAGUGAAGGAGCUAUGGGGUACAGCUCGAGCCUCAGCCAGUUCCUAGUGGACGAAGCAGCCCUCCCAGGCUGGCAGGUCCCCUCUUCCGCACCCAGUGCAUGGGGCUGGCGGGGCUCCCAUCCUACAAGGCCGACUCAGCCUGGCUUGCCCUCCACAAAGAAAGACCCCACCCCAGCCCCAGCCCAUCCUUGUGGGCAUCUGACCCAGGCACACCCUGGUGUUGUCCCACUGCCCUCAGGGGUUGCCCCUGCCUGCCUGUGGGCGCAGAGGAUGACAUUCACAUCAACACGGGCCAGGUCUCCUGUGCACGGAUGGCGCCCUGUCACCCUGUUGGGUCUCUUGGGGAUGGACACCCUCUCUGUCGAUUCCAAAGUGACCAUAUUGUGAGCGGGGCCAGGACAGGGGUGGGUUUGCCUGGUCCGUGUGUGUCUGGGUGCCUGUGUGAGAUUGAGGAAGCAGAGGGGCGGGCCCCCGGCAGCUCUCCUGGGUGGGGCAGGUGAAGGUGUGUGGCUGCCACAGAGGGCCAGGCAGGAGAAGGGCAAAGCCAGGGCUGGGCUAGCAGACCUGUUGGGGGGUGGGUGGGUACCGGAGGGGCUGGGCUCUGCGGCACCAGGAUCAGAGUUCCAGCUGCUGGAACACAGGUGGGGGCACAUGGCCCUCGAGUUCCAAAUGCCCAAGUGAGUGCGUGGGAGUGGGUUGGCACCCAGGCAAGGCCCUCCCUGUAGGGGGGUGGGUGGGUCUGGGGGGGCCCAAGAAGACUGCUAAUCCACCAACAUGGCCCCGCCCUGUGACAGUCGUCUCAGCAGCUGAGGCUUACAGCCAGGUGGAGCCAGGCACUUCUGGGACUUUGCAGUGCGCUCUUGGCCAUCGCUGGAGGCUGGCGCCAUAAACCUCCUUGUGUCAUCUCACUGGGAGUCACUGGUUUACUGGAGGAUGUACCAGUCCUGUCUUAAGAAAGGAGAAGACACCAGCAGUCUGUCUCCAGGAUCCCGGUCCACCUUGGCGUCCUGAGCUGGUGAGGGUUGGGGGAGGCCUGAGGGCACAGGUCGAGCCAGCCCCCCUUCCCUUCUCUCAACCCCACACUUCCCUUUAAGCACUACAUCUCUCAGUAUGCCCAAAGUGAGACAUUUACAAAAAUAAUAAAAAUAAUUUUUU
rnacentral:lncRNA from 1 species